rnacentral:rRNA from 1 species
GAUGAACGCUGGCGGCGUGCCUAAUACAUGCAAGUCGAGCGAACAGACGAGGAGCUUGCUCCUCUGACGUUAGCGGCGGACGGGUGAGUAACACGUGGAUAACCUACCUAUAAGACUGGGAUAACUUCGGGAAACCGGAGCUAAUACCGGAUAAUAUAUUGAACCGCAUGGUUCAAUAGUGAAAGCCGGUUUUGCUGUCACUUAUACAUGGAUCCGCGCCGCAUUAGCUAGUUGGUAAGGUAACGGCUUACCAAGGCAACGAUGGGUAGCCGACCUGAGAGGGUGAUCGGCCACACUGGAACUGAGACAGGGUCCAGACUCCUACGGGAGGCAGCCGUAGGGAAUCUUCCGGAAUGGGCGAAAGCCUGACGGAGCAACGCCGCGUGAGUGAUGAAGGUCUUCGGAUCGUAAAACUCUGUUAUUAGGGAAGAACAAAUGUGUAAGUAACUAUGCACGUCUUGACGGUACCUAAUCAGAAAGGCACGGCUAACUACGUG